rnacentral:rRNA from 1 species
GCCUUUCGAAAGAAAGAUUAAUACCCGAUGGCAUAAUUAGACCGCAUGGUCUUAUUAUUAAAGAAUUUCGGUUAUCGAUGGGGAUGCGUUCCAUUAGUUUGUUGGCGGGGUAACGGCCCACCAAGACUACGAUGGAUAGGGGUUCUGAGAGGAAGGUCCCUCACAUUGGAACUGAGACACGGUCCAAACUCCUACGGGAGGCAGCAGUGAGGAAUAUUGGUCAAUGGGCGCGAGCCUGAACCAGCCAAGUAGCGUGAAGGAUGAAGGCUCUAUGGGUCGUAAACUUCUUUUAUAUGGGAAUAAAGUUUUCCACGUGUGGAAUUUUGUAUGUACCAUAUGAAUAAGGAUCGGCUAACUCCGUGCCAGCAGCCGCGGUAAUACGGAGGAUCCGAGCGUUAUCCGGAUUUAUUGGGUUUAAAGGGAGCGUAGGUUGACAUAUAAGUCAGCUGUGAAAGUUUACGGCUCAACCGUGAAAUUGCAGUUGAUACUGUAUGUCUUGAGUGUACAAGAGGUGGGCGGAAUUCGUGGUGUAGCGGUGAAAUGCUUAGAUAUCACGAAGAACUCCAAUUGCGAAGGCAGCUCACUGGGGUACAACUGACACUGAGGCUCGAAAGUGUGGGUAUCAAACAGGAUUAGAUACCCUGGUAGUCCACACAGUAAACGAUGAAUACUCGCUGUUUGCGAUAUAC